rnacentral:rRNA from 1 species
CAGUCGAACGAUGAAGCCCUUCGGGGUGGAUUAGUGGCGAACGGGUGACGCCAACACGUGGGCAAUCUGCCCUGCACUCUGGGACAAGCCCUGGAAACGGGGUCUAAUACCGGAUAUCACUUCCACUCGCAUGAGUGGGGGUCGAAAGCUCCGGCGGUGCAGGAUGAGCCCGCGGCCUAUCAGCUUGUUGGUGAGGUAACGGCUCACCAAGGCGACGACGGGUAGCCGGCCUGAGAGGGCGACCGGCCACACUGGGACUGAGACACGGCCCAGACUCCUACGGGAGGCAGCAGUGGGGAAUAUUGCACAAUGGGCGCAAGCCUGAUGCAGCGACGCCGCGUGAGGGAUGACGGCCUUCGGGUUGUAAACCUCUUUCAGCAGGGAAGAAGCGAAAGUGACGGUACCUGCAGAAGAAGCGCCGGCUAACUACGUGCCAGCAGCCGCGGUAAUACGUAGGGCGCAAGCGUUGUCCGGAAUUAUUGGGCGUAAAGAGCUCGUAGGCGGCUUGUCACGUCGGGUGUGAAAGCCCGGGGCUUAACCCCGGGUCUGCAUUCGAUACGGGCUAGCUAGAGUGUGGUAGGGGAGAUCGGAAUUCCUGGUGUAGCGGUGAAAUGCGCAGAUAUCAGGAGGAACACCGGUGGCGAAGGCGGAUCUCUGGGCCAUUACUGACGCUGAGGAGCGAAAGCGUGGGGAGCGAACAGGAUUAGAUACCCUGGUAGUCCACGCCGUACACGGUGGGAACUAGGUGUUGGCGACAUUC